rnacentral:lncRNA from 1 species
UGCUGUCCUACCCCCAGGUAAUAGUAAAGAAGCAUACCACUUGAAGCCACAGUCAAUACAAUAUGCUUUUGAGAUCUCAAUGCAUAUGUUAGAGUACGCCACAUGUGUGUUUUUCCAGUUCCUCCAUAACCAUAUAGAAAAAACAUGCGACCUUCUUGACGAUUAACAGCUUGCAUUAUAGUCUUGAAUAUUUGAUAUUGU